rnacentral:rRNA from 1 species
GAUGAACGCUGGCGGCGUGCCUAAUACAUGCAAGUCGAGCGAACAGACGAGGAGCUUGCUCCUCUGACGUUAGCGGCGGACGGGUGAGUAACACGUGGAUAACCUACCUAUAAGACUGGGAUAACGUCGGGAAACCGGAGCUAAUACCGGAUAAUUUAUUGAACCGCAUGGUUCAAUAGUGAAAGCCGGUUUUGCUGUCACUUAUAGAUGGAUCCGCGCCGCAUUAGCUAGUUGGUAAGGUAACGGCUUACCAAGGCAACGAUGCGUAGCCGACCUGAGAGGGUGAUCGGCCACACUGGAACUGAGACACGGUCCAGACUCCUACGGGAGGCAGCAGUAGGGAAUCUUCCGCAAUGGGCGAAAGCCUGACGGAGCAACGCCGCGUGUGUGAUGAAGGUCUUCGGAUCGUAAAACUCUGUUGUUAGGGAAGAACAAAUGUGUAAGUAACUAUGCGCGUCUUGACGGUACCUGAUCAGAAAGCCCCGGCUAACUACGUG